ACCGUGGUAAUUCUAGAGCUAAUACAUGCUAAAAAUCCCAACUUCGGAAGGGAUGUAUUUAUUAGAUUAAAAACCAAUGCCCUUCGGGGCUCCUUGGUGAUUCAUGAUAACUCUUCGAAUCGCAUGGCCUUGUGCCGGCGAUGGUUCAUUCAAAUUUCUUCCCUAUCAACUUUCGAUGUUUGGGUAUUGGCCAAACAUGGUUGCAACGGGUAACGGAGGGUUAGGGCUCGACCCCGGAGAAGGAGCCUGAGAAACGGCUACUACAUCCAAGGAAGGCAGCAGGCGCGCAAAUUACCCAAUCCCGACACGGGGAGGUAGUGACAAUAAAUACUGAUACAGGGCUCUUUUGGGUCUUGUAAUUGGAAUGAGUACAAUUUAAAUCCCUUAACGAGGAACAAUUGGAGGGCAAGUCUGGUGCCAGCAGCCGCGGUAAUUCCAGCUCCAAUAGCGUAUAUUAAAGUUGUUGUGGUUAAAAAGCUCGUAGUUGAACCUUGGGCCUGGCUGGCCGGUCCGCCUCACCGCGUGUACUGGUCCGGCCGGGCCUUUCCCUCUGUGGAACCCCAUGCCCUUCACUGGGUGUGGCGGGGAAACAGGACUUUUACUUUGAAAAAAUUAGAGUGCUCCAGGCAGGCCUAUGCUCGAAUACAUUAGCAUGGAAUAAUAGAAUAGGACGUGUGGUUCUAUUUUGUUGGUUUCUAGGACCGCCGUAAUGAUUAAUAGGGACAGUCGGGGGCAUCAGUAUUCAAUUGUCAGAGGUGAAAUUCUUGGAUUUAUUGAAGACUAACUACUGCGAAAGCAUUUGCCAAGGAUGUUUUCAUUAAUCAGGAACGAAAGUUAGGGGAUCGAAGACGAUCAGAUACCGUCGUAGUCUUAACCAUAAACUAUGCCGACUAGGGAUCGGACGAUGUUAUUUUUUGACUCGUUCGGCACCUUACGAGAAAUCAAAGUGCUUGGGCUCCAGGGGGAGUAUGGUCGCAAGGCUGAAACUUAAAGAAAUUGACGGAAGGGCACCACCAGGGGUGGAGCCUGCGGCUUAAUUUGACACAACACGGGGAAACUCACCAGGUCCAGACACAAUGAGGAUUGACAGAUUGAGAGCUCUUUCUUGAUUUUGUGGGUGGUGGUGCAUGGCCGUUCUUAGUUGGUGGAGUGAUUUGUCUGCUUAAUUGCGAUAACGAACGAGACCUUAACCUGCUAAAUAGCCCGUAUUGCUUUGGCAGUACGCUGGCUUCUUAGAGGGACUAUCGGCUCAAGCCGAUGGAAGUUUGAGGCAAUAACAGGUCUGUGAUGCCCUUAGAUGUUCUGGGC
rnacentral:rRNA from 1 species